CGGUACACACUUAAAAAUGAUUCUUGAGCUCGGCAGAAAAAAAUGCUGAUUUCAAUCGGCAACUCAAGAUUUUGCUGAUACUUCAGCAAAUAACUCGCUUUUGCCGAGAUUGUCCAAAACGUUUUACCGAAAUAUCAGCAAGUUGCUUGAAAACUACGAAAACUGACAGCAUUUUUUGCUGAACCUUUCGGCAAACACAGAUUUUACUGAAAUCAGCAAACGAGAUUACCGAAUUUCAGCAAGACAACUGUCAGUUUUGCAGCCUUCCAGAAAAAAAAAACAAAACAGUGUUACGUGGUGCUGAAGGUGCUACAUGAAUAAUAAAUGAAGUAGUGAUCUUUCAAACGAAGUGAAAAUUUUUAAGAAUGACCUUUUUGCUGCUGCCCUUCGAGGAGCUGUUCGAUUUUGGGAGUUGCAGCUGGGAGUUCAGUGUGUUUACUUAUGGAAGAGAAUGAAACCACCAGCAACCAAUUGAUUAUUUUGAAAAACAUUCCCUUGAAAAAAAAAUGUAAAAUACAUAUACGAGGAUAAAACUUC